UAAGGAAUAUUGGUCAAUGGACGCAAGUCUGAACCAGCCAUGCCGCGUGAAGGAUGAAGGUCCUCUGGAUUGUAAACUUCUUUUAUCUGGGACGAAAACGGGAUUUUUAUCUCAAUUGACGGUGCCAGAGGAAUAAGCACCGGCUAACUCCGUGCCAGCAGCCGCGGUAAUACGGAGGGUGCGAGCGUUAUCCGGAUUUACUGGGUUUAAAGGGUGCGUAGGUGGGCUUAUAAGUCAGUGGUGAAAUCUCCGAGCUUAACUUGGAAACUGCCGUUGAUACUAUAGAUCUUGAAUUAUCUGGAGGUAAGCGGAAUAUGUCAUGUAGCGGUGAAAUGCUUAGAUAUGACAUAGAACACCAAUUGCGAAGGCAGCUUACUACAUAUAAAUUGACGCUGAGGCACGAAAGCGUGGGGAUCAAACA
rnacentral:rRNA from 1 species